UGGGAAUUUUGGACAAUGGGCGCAAGCCUGAUCCAGCCAUGCCGCGUGCGGGAAGAAGGCCUUCGGGUUGUAAACCGCUUUUGUCAGGGAAGAAAUCUUCUGAGUUAAUACCUCGGGAGGAUGACGGUACCUGAAGAAUAAGCACCGGCUAACUACGUGCCAGCAGCCGCGGUAAUACGUAGGGUGCAAGCGUUAAUCGGAAUUACUGGGCGUAAAGCGUGCGCAGGCGGUUUUGUAAGACAGAGGUGAAAUCCCCGGGNUCAACCUGGGAACUGCCUUUGUGACUGCAAGGCUUGAGUGCGGCAGAGGGGGGAUGGAAUUCCGCGUGUAGCAGUGAAAUGCGUAGAUAUGCGGAGGAACACCGAUGGCGAAGGCAAUCCCCUGGGCCUGCACUGACGCUCAUGCACGAAAGCGUGGGGAGCAAAACAGGAUUAGAU
rnacentral:rRNA from 1 species